rnacentral:rRNA from 1 species
GAUGCACGCUGGCGGCGUGCCUAAUACAUGCAAGUCGAACGAGUGGCGGACGGGUGAGUAAUGUCUGGGAAACUGCCCGAUGGAGGGGGAUAACUACUGGAAACGGUAGCUAAUACCGCAUACCAUCGGAUGUGCCCAGAUGGGAUUAGCUAGUAGGUGGGGUAACGGCUCACCUAGGCGACGAUCCCUAGCUGGGCUGAGAGGAUGACCAGCCACACUGGAACUAGGACACGGUCCCUGCUCCUACGGAAGGCAGCAGUGGGGAAUAUUGCACAAUGGGCACAAGCCUGAUUCAGCCAUGCCGCGUGUAUGAAGAAGGCCUUCGGAUUUUAAAGUACUUUCAGCGAGGAGGCGUUACUCGCAGAAGAAGCACCGGCUAACUCCGUGCCAGCAGCCGCGGUAAUUC